rnacentral:rRNA from 1 species
GACGAACGCUGGCGGCGUGCUUAACACAUGUAAGUCGAACGGUAAGGCCCUUCGGGGUACACGAGUGGCGAACGGGUGAGUAACACGUGGGUGAUCUGCCCUGCACUUCGGGAUAAGCAUGGGAAACUGGGUCUAAUACCGGAUAGGACCACUGCAUGCAGGGGUGGUGGUGGAAAGCUUUUGUGGUGUGGGAUGGGCCCGCGGCCUAGCAGCGUGUUGGUGGGGUGAUGGCCUACCAAGGCGACGACGGGUAGCCGGCCUGAGAGGGUGACCGGCCACACUGGGACUGAGAUACGGCCCAGACUCCUACGGGAGGCAGCAGUGGGGAAUAUUGCACAAUGGGCGCAAGCCUGAUGCAGCGACGCCGCGUGAGGGAUGACGGCCUUCGGGUUGUAAACCUCUUUCAGCACCGACGAAGCGCAAGUGACGGUAGGUGCAGAAGAAGGACCGGCCAACUACGUGCCAGCCGCCGCGGUAA